rnacentral:rRNA from 1 species
UACGGAGGGUGCAAGCGUUAAUCGGAAUUACUGGGCGUAAAGCGUGCGCAGGCGGUUUGUUAAGUCUGUUGUGAAAUCCCCGAGCUCAACUUGGGAAUUGCAAUGGAUACUGGCAGGCUGGAGUAUGGUAGAGGAAGGUGGAAUUCCCGGUGUAGUGGUGGAAUGCGUAGAUAUCGGGAGGAACACCAGUGGCGAAGGCGGUUGCCUGGGGCUUUGCUGACGCUGAUGCGCGAAAGCGUGGGGAGUGAUCCGG